GUGUAUGGCCCUUUUUGUACAACUUCUCCACUUAUACUACUUUGAUUUGUGUACAUGACUUUCCUACAGCAGGAAAGUGCAGAUACUCAAGCAGCUCUAGGUUACAGCAGCUGCAGGGACAGCAGACAGCUCGCAGGCUGAUGGUCUCUCUGCCACCUGAGGAGCCAUGCACUCCCACUGCUGCACCACCCUGUCCUUCUACAGUGCAUUCUCAAUGCCUGCAGCCUCACUCGAGUGAGCUUAUGUUGAUCUGAGGGGAUUUGGGUGGUGGGCAUGCUGGCACUGGCUGGCUGCUGCCUGCCAGAGGCAGGGUAGAGGUGGCUGCUGGGCCCUAGCAUGGCCCUCACCCCACAGCUGCAACCAGAAGUGCCUUCUGAAAGAUCUUAAGAUGGCCACAGGAAUGCUUAAUUGUUCCUCUUGGCAUCAUUGAGUUGCCACAAAGUGCGAACAAAGCUUGGUGUGUCUCAGCUUAGCACUUCAAAUUUUGACCCAGUCUCUAUUUUUCCCUCAGCUGUUGUUGCCGAGCAAUCUGCAUGAAGUGUAUGUUCCCCCUUCAGCAGGACCCCAUGCUGCUGCUGAUGGAGGACACCUGGAGGGCUGUGCUCAGGACUCUAGCACAAAGGCUCAAAUGGCCCCCACCUGGCAUGAAGUUCUGACCUCGUGGUAUGCACCUGGCCAGGCUGAGAGGUCAGGGUUAGACAACAGGUUGCUUCUUUGAACUUCUGAUUACACCAUGGUUUCCUGGGAAGUGGGCAGUUGGUUUGGUGUUUGGCAGUAAGGACUGACACAAAUGACAGGACAAAGAAGCAUGCACGAAAAUAAAAUGAAAAUUCAGAACAGAUGUCAGGACACAUUUUUCAUGCUGAAUGUGCAGAGUGGUCAAACAGGUAAGGCAAAAGCACUUUCCCAUUUAGGAAAUAAUUAGCCCAUCAUGGACAAAGCGGCUUUACCAAUUUCCUUUUUCUCUAAUUUUCUUACAUUCUUAUUAUACUCCAGUUGGUAUCCACUUUUCUCUGACUAGAACCUUCAUCAUCAUCUGGACGUGAACCUAGUUCUUAGGGAAAUGAAUGAACUAUUAACUGCUAAGUGAACAUCUAUUUAGCUGGAUAUUCUGUUGAUGUUGUAUCAUGCUGUUAUGUUCAAAAUCUAGCAGUGCAUCUAUUUUGAAGUUCAGAGUGUUUCUGGAAGUUUUUAUCACAGCUAUAAAAUUAAGUAAGAAAAAAUAAGAGUGACAGCAGAAGACGUGCUGCUUUUAUUAUCUUGAAGAGUGAAAUUAUUUUGAAGUGAUAAAAAAUGUUACACAUGAAUGAAUUUAGGAGGAAAAAAAAAAAAAAAGAAUUGGAGAAAACCAAACCACCAACAAAGAAAGGUGAAUGUGAUUCUGGGAUCUUUUCUUCCACUGAGGUUUUGCUCCCAGAUCUGAUAUAGACUUCCUGUGGAAUCCUGCUGCAAUGCCUCAUCUUUCACGUUCAUAACAUAGAAUAAUUUUUUCUCAGGGGAAUGUGAGAGUAAAACUCUAAUUAUAUGUGGUGCUAACAAUUGACCUCUCCAGGUAUCAGUCAUUUCCAUGAAGUGUUGGUCAAUUACAAGUUUUGUAUUUUAAAUCAAUUUGAGAGUGAUAGAUAGAUAAUCCCCUCUGAGGACAAUGUUAAUACUAAAACCUAGAAAAUGAAAGUCUUUGGUUUGUAAUAAAUUUUUCCUGUAGCUGUUAAGUGAGACUUGCUGAGUGACUAGCUACAGCAGCAGGCCAUGUUUCCAAGCUAAUGAUUUCUACUAUGCAAAAAAUAGAACUGGUCAGUGCCUCCUCACCAUGAACUCCCUUAGUUUCAGUGCUUAAUGUUGUCACCAAUAUUCUCAAUGUAAAGCUAAUUG